UGGCUCUAGCAUCGAUGAAGAACGCAGCGAAAUGCGAUAAGUAAUGCGAAUUGCAGAAUUCAGUGAAUCAUCGAAUCUUUGAACGCACAUUGCGCCCGCUAGUAUUCUGGCGGGCAUGCCUGUCUGAGCGUCAUUUCACCACUCGCGCCCGGCCUCGCGCCGGGGGCGGCGUUGGGGAUCGGCCGCCCGUCACUGGGAGGCCGGCCCCUAAAUGGAGUGGCGACCGCGCUGUAGCCUCCCCCGCGUAGUACCUAACCUCGCGGGCGGAGAGCGGCGCGGCCCCGCCGUAAAACCCCCCAACUUUCUCAGGUUGACCUCAGAUCAGGUAGGAAUACCCGCUGA
rnacentral:misc_RNA from 1 species